UUGAUUUUAAUGAAGAGUGUUUGGUUGUAGCUGGCCCAUUAAUUUGGGCAUGUGCACGCCUGCCUCUUUCAUCCACACACACCUGUGCACUUGUGAGACAGAUAGGGAAUUUUCUUACUCUAUUUUUGGAAACAGAAAUAAGUAAUGAUUUGAACCUCUCUGUCUACUUAAUUCACAUAUACUCAAUUUAUUUUAAAAUGAAUGUAAAGGAUGUAACACAUCUAAUA
rnacentral:misc_RNA from 1 species